AUAGGACCCGCGCUUCGCGGCAGGUAGAUAAUAUUUCAGUAAAUUUUUAUAUAUAAUUUUUAAAAUUUUAAAUUGAAAAAAUUUAUAAUGAAAAAUAUAAAACAAACUUAUAUAUCUUUUAUAUAUUAUAAAAGCUAUUUUUUAUUAAUAUUUUUAGCUUUCAGUAUUUGUAAAGUUAAAGUAUUCCAAUAACUUUAUUUAUUUUAAAAUUAAAAAAAAUUAUAAUGCAAAAUAUAAAACAAACUUAUAUAUCCAUUAUAUAUUAUAAAAACUAAUUUUUAUUAAUAUUUUUAGCUUUCAGUAUUUGUAGAUGUUGGUAGCCGAAAUCUACAAUCCCUAACCCUGUCAAAGAUCUUCCUCGGGAAGUGCGUAGGGAUGCGAAACAGCUGCGAAUAGUGACCCUUAAAAUUUGCGCCCUUCGAUUGAUCAGGCAAUUCGGCUGACGAGGGAUCGGGUCAGCCGGGUUCGAAACCUCUACAGUAAAUUCGGUUCGGCUGGAUGAGCCGAAUGAACAAGAGAAGUCAGAAUUUCAAUCAAGGAAUGAGUCGAAUGGCUAAUACAGCACAGGAACUGGUCGGCCCGAAGAGCCGAACACUGCCUUCUAUUGAAAGAGAACGGAGAAAGUACAGGAAAGCGGGUUUUUGUCAACAGCGGAGUGAUGCCCAAAGGGCAGACAGACUCCAGGAUGCUAAGUUACAGGAACUACUCCUAGAGAAAGCAGUAAAUACGAGAAAGAAAGAUGCAGGAAAAUAAGGAUGGUCUUUUUGUGCGCAAGAGCAAAGACCUCUUUUCAGGGUAUUAUUAUCCUAUUUAUAGAUAACCCCCUCGGUCAGUUAUUGCUCUUACACGAUCGGCCACUAUCUCCUCAUAUUCCGGACCACAUCUAGCCGAUCGAAAACGCAUGUAACUGCUUGCGGUUACCGUAACUUCCUUCAAUUGGCGCGAUUUGUUUUUCUUUACACUUUUCCGGUGCUCCCGGUGCACGACCAAAUAGAUACUUUUGAAGGGAAUACCAGCACCGAUCUUGUCCGCGCCUAAUUGUCUCAACAGUAGAGUUAAAGUAUUCUAAUAACUUUAUUUUGAAAUUCAAUCAAACUUAAUAAUUUUUGUAGCUCUUUUAGCACGAUGGGGAGAGAGCAAAAAAAAUAAAAAAAGAAAGUAACCGAGAGAGAAAGUGAGAGAGAAGGAAAAAAGUAAAAAAUGAAAGUAAGAGAGAGAGAGUAAAAAAUGAAAGUAAGAGAGGGAGAGAGAGAUAGAGAGAGAGGGAAAACAAAAUAUUCUAUUUUUAUUUUUUUUGCUCUUUGCCCAUCGCGCUAAAAUAGCUAUUAAAAUUAUUAAGUUUGUUAAAUUUUUAAAUAAAGUUAUUAGAAUACUUUAACUUUACAAAUACUGAGAAAGCUAUCUUUUUAUUAAUAUUUUUAGCUUUCAGUAUUUUUAGAUAAAUUAUUCUAAUAACUUUAUUUAAAAAUUCAAUCAAACUUAAUAAUUUCAAUAGCAAUUUUAGCGCGAUGGAAAAAGAUAAAAAAAAUAAAAAAGAAAGUAAGAGAGGGAGAGCGAGAGUGAGGGACAGAAAAAAAAAAAAGAAAAAAGUGGGUCCCACCAAAACCCCCCAAAAGCGGGGAGGCUUCGGUUCAACCCAACUUUCAUUAUAUUAACUAGUGAAGACCGCACGUUGCGGCGGGAUGAUUUCGUAAAAAUAAAUAAAUAAAUAAAUAAAUAAGUUAAGAAAGUAAAAAAAGAGUCAAAGAAUUAUAUGAAAAAAAAAAGCAACUAGAGAAAAAGUAACUAUUGCUGCAAUAAAAAUAUAAAAAUAAAUUAUAGAAAGAACUAAAAAAAAAUAAGGACUAAAACUAUACGAAUUUGUUAUCUUGACUAGUAAAACAU
rnacentral:lncRNA from 1 species